rnacentral:lncRNA from 1 species
CACUCAGCUUUCUGAAAUGGUGUCCCACCGCAAGGACUGGAGAAGGGCACCCUUGGAAAUGCAAUGCUACAUCUCAAUGGGAUUUUCCAGUACAAAGAUUCUUUUCAAAUAACAUAAUUGUGGAUACACACCACUCCUACAGUGACACAAAGCAAAUUCGAGCGAUUUUCUUAUUUGAGUUCAAAAUGGGCUGUAAAGCAGUGGAGACAACUCGCAACAUCAACAAUCCAUUUGGCCCAGGAACUGCUAAUGAAUGUACAGUGGAGUGGUGGUUCAAGAAGUCUGGCAAAGGAGAUGAGAGCCUUGAAGAUGAGGAGUGUAGUGGCUGACCAUUGGAAAUUGACAACAACCAAUUAAGAGCGGUCAUCAAAGCUGAUCCUCUUACAAUGACACAAGAAGUUGCCAAAGAACUCAAUGUUGACCAUUCUUUGGUCAUUCAGCAUUUGAAGCAAAUUGGGAAGGUGAAAAAGCUUGAUGAGUGGGUGCCUCAUGAGCUGAGCGAAAAUUUUUUUAAAAAUCAUUGUUUUGAAGCGUUGUCUUCUCUUAUUCUACGCAACAACAGUGAACCAUUUCUCUAUCAGAUUGUGAUGUGCAAGGAAAAGUGGAUUUUAUAUGACAAUUGGUGAUGCCCAGCUCAGUGGUUGGACAGAGAAGAAACUCCAAAGCACUUCCCAAAACCAAACUUGCACCAAAAAAAGGUCAUGGUCACCAUUUGGUGGUCUGCUGCCGGUGUAAUCGACUACAGCUUUCUGAACCCCAGCAAAUCAUUACGUCUGAAAAGUAUGCUCAGCAAAUUGAUGAGAUGUACUGAAAAC